rnacentral:rRNA from 1 species
GACGAAGGGGGCUAGCGUUGUUCGGAAUUACUGGGCGUAAAGCGCGUGUAGGCGGUUGUUCAAGUCAGGUGUGAAAGCCUUGAGCUCAACUCAAGAAAUGCACUUGAUACUGGAUGACUAGAGGACCGGAGAGGAUAGUGGAAUUCCCAGUGUAGUGGUGAAAUACGUAGAGAUUGGGAAGAACACCAGUGGCGAAGGCGGCUAUCUGGACGGUUUCUGACGCUAAGACGCGAAAGCGUGGGAAGCAAACAGG